GAUGAAGAACGCAGCGAAAUGCGAUAAGUAGUGUGAAUUGCAGAAUUCAGUGAAUCAUCGAAUCUUUGAACGCACAUUGCGGCCAUAGGUAUUCCUUUGGCCAUGCCUGUUCGAGCGUCAUUUACCCCCUCAAGCCUAGCUUGGUGUUGGGCGUCUGUCCCGCCGUUCUCGCGCGCGGACUCGCCUCAAAGUCAUUGGCGGCGGUCGUGCCGGCCCCCUCGCGCAGCACAUUUGCGCUUCUCGGAGGCCCGGCGGAUCCGCGCUCCAGCAAGACCUUUCACGACUUGACCUCGGAUCAGGUAGGGAUACCCGCUGAACUUAAGCAUAUCAAUAAGCGGAGGA
rnacentral:misc_RNA from 1 species